CAGCCCACGCGGUGUGAUCACGCCAAAGUGCAAAUUUGGAGACGCACCCCCAAAGGGUGCCGGGGGCUUC
rnacentral:tRNA from 1 species